rnacentral:sRNA from 1 species
CGGACAAUGAGUUUUUUGGUAUUUUUAGAACUUUACAUCCUGCAGGCGGUGAAGACAUAGGACUUAGAAGAUUAGAAGAUUAUAUACUAAUGAAGAUUGUUUAGAUAUUAGAAUUUGGGAGCGAAGCUUUUCCCCACCAAAGAUUAUACCCCUUAGGAAGGAAGUCCUUGAUUCGAUGCAACCGGUUGCAUCUAUCCACAUCCCUUCCAGCCAAUCUCCCAGGGCUGUGGAAAGCUUCAUGGUCGUAACUAUCCCAAUUUAUAGACAUAUCGCUUUCUCAUGACGGACAUGUACCACAUGCUCUUCUGUAUUCAGUUCGACAUGUAAACAGUAUUGUUUCCGAAUUCAUCGAUAAUUCUAAUCAGACUUUUGCUUAUUCAUUUUAAAUUCACUAUUUAUGUUUUUUAUUAUUCUGUUUUUUCGAGAAGCUAAUUACUCAAACCGAAACUAUGAUACUUCCUUCUCGCGAAUGGCUGCUCCCCAAUCUCCGGUACGUAAGGCUUCGUACCAAGACUGACUGCCUUCCGACUUCAGGUUCCAAAGAGUCUCGGCAUCAACAGGUAGCACUUUCGGGAUGUUGGUGAAGUGCUUCCUGCCUCGCUGGUACCAGUGAUUCCACUCAAGAGUCUUGAUAAGGUCGAGGAAGGGGGGAUAGCUCGAUUCGAGCUCAGGGUCUUCCAGAAGGGACGAGCGCAAGACAUCGUACCUAGAUUCCUGGGUUUCCUCCUCAUACACCAUUCCCUUAGUCAGAUAAACCUCAGGAUCCUCAUCAUCCCCAUCUUCGCCAUUACUACCGGUCACCUCGAAGUUGACCGUACUAUCCCACCGAUCCAUUGGGGCAUGGAAAACAGGUUUCGAACGGACAGCCUUUUGAUGAAAAAGCAACUCAACUCCGAGAAGAGCACGAACUCAUCAGCGCCUUCUGGGUUCCUAUGGAGGCCGUGGCCCACCUCCUGGGACGUGUAAAGCUUGACCAGGGGUAGGAUCCCCCCACUACAGAGGGCCUUGUGAAGCAUUCGCCACUCCCUGCAAUGGGCCAUCGGCAUGUCAACGAAAUGAUCGUUGACAUACUUCUGGAACUAUGACACCAGGGAUCGGCAUGCAGGAAGAUAUGAUUGAUCUUAAAACAACUUGUUUGCAUUGCGGAAUCGAAUGCAUACCAUUCCUUUCUACGCCGUUCCCUUCUUGACCUCCCAUUCCUCCAGCCACGCGCUUACAAACAUUUUCUCCCACUCGUGCACAGCCUGGAUACGAGCUGGUUCAGCUUCGUGUUGCGUUAAUAGUUAGGAAACAUGACAUGGAAUGAGUUAUUUGACAGUGAUUGUGGAAAGCCAAGCGUAUAUGAAAAUUGAGAGGAUAAAAAGAAUUUGAGAAAGGAACCGUCAGCCAACUAUUUCCACCAAGUACGGGAAAUGGAAGCGGGGACAUACCUCGUCAUAAUGAUGAACGCCAUCUAACCCAAUCUCAAUAAUCAGCAGAUGCCACGCCCUUCACCACAGCGAAGUAGCAUAAGACCCUAUUACUUACCAUAUAUAAUCCAUCCCGGCUUAUUCAUAUCCAUUCCCCCUUUCUUCCCUCUCGUUCCAUUCCUCUGCGGCGUCAUCGGUCUCCAGGGAUCCCUAUCCCCAUCAACAAACGCCAAUCUAUCCGCCUCGAUCAAAUAAUCUCCUCUCCUGUUUACCUCCUCCACAUCCGGCUCGGAGGGGAUAGAGAAGUGUUCGCCGGGAGGAAAAGCAAGAGAGCAGAUGUCGGAGGUGUAGGCUAGUGUGAGACGGGAUGAAACUAUUCGUGGAGAAGGCGAAGGAGGUGCGGGCAUAAAGUAGCCCCACUGGGUACAGACUAAUGAAAGAAGAUGAAUGUGAAUAAAGUUUUGUGGGAGGCCAUGGAAGGUCUGGCUGAGAUCGGUCACUCUAAACUUUUCCGGGUCUUUCGUGCUAAAGCACUUGAUCAUCGUUAGUCGGCAAUUGAAGAUGGAUGAAAAAGAUGAGACAUACAUUCUCAAUGUCGGAAUCAGGUUCACCAGGGGUCCGAGGGCAUUUCGAAACUACGUUCUCUUUGAUGUAUUUAGCAUAGUUCAAGACGGAGGCUGGUCUACAAGUGAAGGGACGUUACUCUUUGAUGGGACCGCAACAGAAGGAUGACUUGGACGUACACUCUGACCAAGCCAAUCUUAGUUCCAGCCCCACCAGCAGUAAGCGCAUCACAAAAGUUGUAAAACUCCGUUGAGCCGACUAUAUUGCAUCGAUCGACAAAUCCGUAUGCCAGUUCAUGCCAACAACAAUAAGGAAGAUAAGAGGCUGAGGAGACAUACCAGCAGGAUCCCAGUUUUUUUCCUGCCAGUAUCCCAGAGGGCUGCUAAUCACAUCCGCGAAAUCAUCAUCCUCCAAUGCUCCCAAUCCAAAAAGUCCCUUCAGCAACUGUGGGAAACCCGUCGCUCGAGGGUGAUCGAGCAUGUUGUCAAUGAAGAUGAUGGCCCGUUGAAGGGUGGAUAUACACGCCGGUGGGCCGUAUUCCUGAAUCGGGUCAUAGUAUUGGGGAAAAUCGAUCUGAGCAUGUGUGACAGCUUGGAAAAGAGUCAACCAGUGAUAGAAGAGAAAAGGAAUGAAAGUGCAAAACUAACCACUAGAAGCGAUUGCUCCCCAUACUAGAUUUGGGUAUUGAACUCUCAUAUGCGCCGCACGUGCACCAGCGUACGAACCCCCGUAGUAUAUCCAUGGGGUAUUGUUCGGGUGAAAAGCGGUUUCUUCGAGCUCGAAUGGGAGGAUGUUAUUAGAGAGAGAGGAGGGGAGUUUGAAAUUUUCAAUAAACUUCCAUAGGCGUUAGAAAAUGCAAAAAGUAA